rnacentral:rRNA from 1 species
GGGCCCGCACAAGCGGUGGAUUAUGUGGAUUAAUUCGAUGCAACGCGAAAAACCUUACCUGGCCUUGACAUGUACCGAAUUUAGCAGAGAUGCUUUAGUGCUCGAAAGAGAACGGUAACACAGGUGCUGCAUGGCUGUCGUCAGCUCGUGUCGUGAGAUGUUGGGUUAAGUCCCGCAACGAGCGCAACCCUUGCCAUUAAUUGCCAUCAUUUAGUUGGGCACUUUAAUGGGACUGCCGGUGACAAACCGGAGGAAGGUGGGGAUGACGUCAAGUCCUCAUGGCCCUUAUGGCCAGGGCUUCACACGUAAUACAAUGGUCGGUACAGAGGGAAGCCAACCCGCGAGGGGGAGCCAAUCUCAGAAAGCCUGUCUCAGUCCGGAUUGGAGUCUGCAACUCGACUCCAUG